UGGCAAGGAUGAAAAAAAGGCCGGACUUACGGCUGCUACCAUGUGGUUUGGUAGUAGAGUGAUGAAAGUUACAGCUAGGUAUAUUUGCUGAGCCAG
rfam:Capsicum annuum cultivar Zunla-1 chromosome 7, whole genome shotgun sequence